CAUACUUUUCUCUUGCAAUCAUUCUGGUAGAGGUUGAUUUUGGUUUCAUCUGUCCAAUGAAUGCUUUUCCAGAACUGUGCAGAACUGGACGAAGAAAAGUCCUCACUUCUCCAAGAAAUCUCUCGACUAAAAGAGGUUAUCAAGAGAAAGGAUGACAGACUCAACCACUGCCAAGAAGUCUUCAUGUUAAAGCUUGAUCAACUCCAGGAGGAGGAAAGCGCCCAGACCGGAUUCUCCAUUGUCCUCCUGGGGACUUCAAUGUCUGCAUGGUCAACAACGGAGGCACCGGUAGGGGCAUGAUUGGAAAUAAAGGCUUCCUUGAUCUGAAUCUGAGUGCUGUUCUGCUGUUUGACUUCUGUACUCUUCCAUGUUUGUCUCUAACAAACGCCAUGUUCACUUCUGAUCACAACCUGGUGGUGAGAUGGAUUUGCUGGGAGGCAAGGAGGCUGGAAAGACUUCGCAGACCCAAACAAAAUGUAACAAUUGACUGGAAACAUCUGGCUAAGCCCUCCAUUCGGAAGGUCUUUGGCUCCAACAUCCAGGAAAACUUCACACAGAGUUGCCAGAGCCCGUCCCAUUUACUGUUGGGUGAAGGAGGGAUACAGCCUGGACAGGUCGGUGGCCUACAGUCGCUCCGCCGGAUCGCCACGCGGGUGGCGGCUUGCUGGCCGCAAAGAGAGCGCCGCUGUGGGAUGGAAUGGCAGGCACCUCGGGCCUCCUAAAUCUUUUGGAAUUUUUCUUAUUUCCAUCAAGACAAAGAUCUUCUGGUUUAAUUCUUGUUUUUAUUUUCCCCUUCUUGAACCAAUGUGGGUCACAGAGACACAGAAGUAGCGGCUGAAAGAUGCUUUUGCAGCGGGAGACUGAAUGAACCCAGACAUGGAGACAUGAUUACUGAUGCUUUUGUACAGCUUUUUUAAUGUUUUUUUUUUUUU